rnacentral:rRNA from 1 species
CCUACGGGUGGCAGCAGUGAGGAAUAUUGGUCAAUGGGCGCGAGCCUGAACCAGCCAAGUAGCGUGAAGGAAGACUGCCCUACGGGUUGUAAACUUCUUUUAUAAGGGAGUAAAGUGAGGCACGUGUGCCUCUUUGUCUGUACCUUAUUAAUAAGCAUCGGCUAACUCCGUGCCAGCAGCCGCGGUAAUCCGGAGGGUCCGAGCGUUGUCCGGAUUUAUUGGGUGUAAAGGGAGCGUAGGUGGGAUUUCAAGUCAUCUGUGAAAGUGUGGGGCUCAACCGUGUAAUUGCGAUUGAUACUGGAUGCCGGGAGUACAGGAGAGGUAGGCGGAAUUCGUGGUGUAGCGGUGAAAUGCGUAGAUAUCACGAAGAACUCCGAUUGCGAAGGCAGCUGACUGGACGGCAACUGACGGUGAGGCUCGAAAGCGUGGGGAUCAAACAGGAUUAGAUACCCUAGUAGUC